rnacentral:rRNA from 1 species
GACGUAGGGCGCGAGCGUUGUCCGGAUUUAUUGGGCGUAAAGAGCUCGUAGGCGGCUUGUCGCGUCGUCCGUGAAAACCUGCGGCUCAACUGCAGGCUGGCGGUCGAUACGGGCAGGCUGGAGUUCGGUAGGGGAGACUGGAAUUCCUGGUGUAGCGGUGAAAUGCGCAGAUAUCAGGAGGAACACCUAGUGGCGAAGGC